UGCAGCCUGGGAUGCGUCACGUCCGGAUCCUCCCCCUUUUUCUGUUUUGUUUCAGCGGUUUCAGCCUGUCUUUUCAUCGGUUUGUGUGUUUCUCCGGAUGCUGUUUUGGAUGCGAUUACUGCCUUCCUUUCAGUUUUACCAGCGGGUUAUUUGAAGGCUGUGUAUCCUGAGCGGUGAACUGAUUGUAAAACGCGUCUAUCCGCAUUUGGUAAGUUUUGUUGGGUUUACGGGGGGGAAUUUCGGCGUGUGAUUGUGCAAUUAAUAGUAACCCUGUUUUGUGUUUGUAUCAUUCAUGCAUGCUAUAGGAUUCUCCCUUUCGUCCUGGGCGAUUAUUAUUGCAGCUCGGUUCUGUCUUCCGCAGCGCGCCGAGCGAACAAUAUUGGAUUACAACUAUUUAAAGGGACUUCUGCUGCUGCCGUCUGGUUUCUGUGAUUUGUUUUAACUGAUUUUUUUUGGUUUACUUUGGGGUGGACGAUCGUACAUUUAUUGGGGCUGGCCUAAGGACGACGUGGCCGCUCCUUCGAGUCCUGUUUUCCUCAAACUUUUAACAGUUUUUUUUUUUGUUUAUUUUGUUUCUUUUGUAGAUUUGUAUAUGGUGACUUGUACUGUGCUGUGGUGAC